rnacentral:lncRNA from 1 species
GUGAUUAAUGAUAUGAAUUUUUUUUGGUACAUCGAAAACUUAAAAGACAAGAAAAGAAAGACUACAAGGCUAACAAAUCCCUAACCAAGAUGGGAUGAACCUCUUGAAGAGGCACCUCAAGUCGAGUUAAAGCAUAAGGGCUAGCAACUCUCAGGCCUGCAAGACAAUCCGCCACAUCAUUCGCACUCCGGAAAAUAUGCAGAAGCUGAACAUGCCAAUCCUGGUCAAGCAAGCUUCUAAUCUCUAGGAAUUCUAGUGCAAGAUCAUGAAAGUGGAUUUCAUUCCCUUGCAUGGUAUCAACGAUCUCUUUGCAAUCUGUUUCAAUGAUAUGAUUGAAAGAGUAAAAAGAUAUAAAAAUUUAACCAGUAAUUUAAAAAAGAAAAAGUGAAAUAGAUAUGUUAACAAAUCAUAGUUCAAUAAACAUUUUCUUAUUAUAGCCUCUUUUGAAUAUGAAGUUGGAAGUUGGAACAUUCCCUCUAGAAUCACACGCAUUACAUCAUUUUUCAAUGAGCUGUCGCUAGGUUAAGACAUGCAAGAGAUUCACCUAUUUUAGCUAGUAAGUAACAGCCCUGCAGGAUCAAAUUCACACGUUAAUCAUCCUCCCUAUAAAAACAUUUCUAUUUUCCACACAACAAAUCACUCUGUGAGAAACCGUAUCACGGGUCAAUUACCUUCGGGUCCUCCGCCAUGAACGGUACCAACACGCUUGACCUCCCAACUUUGAAGGUGAUCUCCGCCGUCGGACGCGGCGCCAAGGGCGUUGUUUUCCUCGCGAGAACAUGCAGCGGGGCCGCGUCGUCGAACGGGGACGACUGGCU